AUUGAACGCUGGCGGCAGGCCUAACACAUGCAAGUCGGACGGUAGCACAGAGGAGCUUGCUCCUCGGGUGACGAGUGGCGGACGGGUGAGUAAUGUCUGGGGAUCUGCCCGAUAGAGGGGGGUAACCACUGGAAACGGUGGCUAAUACCGCAUAACGUCGCAAGACCAAAGAGGGGGACCUUCGGGCCUCUCACUAUCGGAUGAACCCAGAUGGGAUUAGCUAGUAGGCGGGGUAACGGCCCACCUAGGCGACGAUCCCUAGCUGGUCUGAGAGGAUGACCAGCCACACUGGAACUGAGACACGGUCCAGACUCCUACGGGAGGCAGCAGUGGGAAAUAUUGCACAAUGGGCGCAAGCCUGAUGCAGCCAUGCCGCGUGUAUGAAGAAGGCCUUCGGGCUGUAAAGUACUUUCAGCGGGGAGGAAGGCGAUGUGGUUAAUAACCGCAUUGAUUGACGUUACCCGCAGAAGAAGCACCGGCUAACUCCGUGCCAGCCGCCGCAGUAA
rnacentral:rRNA from 1 species